GACAGAGGGUGCAAACGUUGUUCGGAAUCACUGGGCGUAAAGCGCACGUAGGCGGCUUCUUAAGUCAGGGGUGAAAUCCUGGAGCUCAACUCCAGAACUGCCUUUGAUACUGAGGAGCUUGAGUCCGGGAGAGGUGAGUGGAACUGCGAGUGUAGAGGUGAAAUUCGUAGAUAUUCGCAAGAACACCAGUGGCGAAGGCGGCUCACUGGCCCGGUACUGACGCUGAGGUGCGAAAGCGUGGGGAGCAAACAGG
rnacentral:rRNA from 1 species